GGGGGGGGGGGGGGGGGGGGGGGGCGGGGGGGGGUCAGCUGGGACGGCGGUGUGGGUGGCGGGCGGGGGAGUAACGCGUAGAGAACUUGCCUCACAGUUAGGGACAACAUUUGGAAACGAAUGCUAAUACCUGAUAUUAUGAUUUUAGGGCAUCCUAGAAUUAUGAAAGCUAUAUGCGCUGUGAGAGAGCUUUGCGUCCCAUUAGCUAGUUGGAGAGGUAACGGCUCACCAAGGCGAUGAUGGGUAGCCGGCCUGAGAGGGUGAACGGCCACAAGGGGACUGAGACACGGCCCUUACUCCUACGGGAGGCAGCAGUGGGGAAUAUUGGACAAUGGACCAAGAGUCUGAUCCAGCAAUUCUGUGUGCACGAUGAAGUUUUUCGGAAUGUAAAGUGCUUUCAGUUGGGAAGAAAAAAAUGACGAGACCAACAGAAGGAGUGACGGCUAAAUACGUG
rnacentral:rRNA from 1 species